rnacentral:rRNA from 1 species
AGCGAACGUUAGCGGCGGGCCUAACACAUGCAAGUCGAACGCGAAAGGUCUUCGGACUGAGUAGAGUGGCGCACGGGUGAGUAACACGUAGGUAAUCUACCCUUUGGCGGGGGAUAACGUUCCGAAAGGAGCGCUAAUACCGCAUAAGACCACGGAGUCUCCGGACGCUGUGGGAAAAAGGUGGCCUCUUCUUGAAAGCUACCACCGAAGGAUGAGCCUGCGUCCCAUCAGCUAGUUGGUAAGGUAAUGGCUUACCAAGGCGAAGACGGGUAGCUGGUUUGAGAGAAUGAUCAGCCACACUGGGACUGAGACACGGCCCAGACUCCUACGGGAGGCAGCAGUGGGGAAUUUUGGACAAUGGGCGCAAGCCUGAUCCAGCCAUGCCGCGUGCGGGAAGAAGGCCUGG